rnacentral:lncRNA from 1 species
GAACUGGGUGGGAACAAGAAAGAGGAGGGCUGUGACAAGAGAUAGGAAAUGAGAACUGGUUGGUGUGGGCGAGGAACACACGCAGGCCGGCACUGACACACUUCAGUCUCCUCAGAAAAAAGCUGAAACUCCCACUUCUUGCCAACGUUACUGUGUGUCACAGAUGCAAAGGCUGUGACUAACAACCCACACACCUCUGUGGUUCCAACUGACUCCAAGUUUGGCAAACCACGUUGCAGGGCACAAAUCCUACACCAACCCAAGUCCAUUUAUUUAUUACAGAUAAAAUAGUUAUUGCAUAGAAAGUUGCACUGCCUGCAAAGCUCCAAUAGCUGCAUCUAUUCAGUGCAUGCUCUGACCACCCACUAUACAAGCUGAGUAUGCACCCUGCCUGGCUGCUUGUUCUGUUUUCCAGUGUUAAGAAAAGAAGACCUGCAGGCUUCCAGACGAUCAUAGAUACAGAAUGGCAGGUCCUGCUGAGCCCCAGUACAGCCCCACACACAGGAGUGACAACCAGGAUAUUCUGGUUUUGGUGGCUUUUUUUGUUAAUCUGUACUAAUGAGCCCUGAGCUCAGGAAGCCAAUUUCAGAUAGGAGUAGAAUUUAUUGUUUUUUUUUUAAUUGAUUACAUUUAAGUAUAUACAUACAUUUGUCAUAACGUAUGUAUUACAGCACAUAUAUUCCCAUACUAUAGUAUGAGAUAUAGUAUAAUAUAUAAUAUAUGUAUAGCAUCAGCCCACUUCAAAGGUCUGCCUCCUGUAACAGCAAACAACAGACAUAUAAGGAAACACAUGGUAGAUUAUUUAGAAUAGUUAAUAGAUAACCACAUAUUAAUAUAUUAAUAUAAUUAAUUUAGUGUUAAUACUAAUUUCCACAGUUUAUGCUCCCACAAUCCAGUAAGUUACAACUCUGGGACUUUCCAAGCCAAAGGGACAUGUUUGUAUGGGGAUACACCACAGAAACAUGGUUAACACUGUUGAAUGAGCUAAGUAUUUAAACAGCAGAAAAUGAUGAUUGCCGAAAGAAUUCUCAUGCCACAAAGCUACAGCUAGGGCCAUUAAACAGUCUUCGCUUCAGAAAUCUCUAGAACAGCAUAUAUUUAGAAGAGUUAUUUUCAGAUUUACUGAAACACUCAUUUGUUUACCUUUAUUUCCUCCCAGUAUGGUCCUCCUCGGGUGAACAUGAAGUAGUUGUACAGGUCAUCCUUUUGAUGGGAGAAGUAAGGGUCUGUAUAAAUGUUUACCAUCCAAGCUCUGCCAUCGCCACGGACACGUAAAUACAGACAGUUGAAGUUUGACCAGUCGUAAUACUUCUUCCUAGCAAAAGAUCCCACUGCUGGUUUGGCUCUCAUACUACAAUAUCCACUGUAUUUCGUCUCCCCAUCGCGAGGUACUUCAGUAUUGAGUAUUCCAUACAGCAUAGCACCCUGGUUGUUCCUACCCAAUUUCAGGUAAACUUCACUUUUCCCUCCGAUCUCUACAUCGGAGGAGAUAACCCAUUUAUUUAAAUCUUCCUGCGUCCGAAACUCCCACAUCACCUUUGUCUGUUCCAGCAGGUACUGACUGAAUGAAUGGCCAUCAGGUCCUACUAGGUGAUCUUCGGUCUCCUUCUUCAGCAAACCUAGUUGAGUCUUUAAGGCAUUAAAGCCCUUCUUAAAGCUGAAAUCAAUGUUUCGCCAAGAUGGUAUUACCUCAGGCUGUGACCCUGGCCUCCUGUAACUGCUGGAACAUUUUGACACGGAAUCAACACAGACAGUUCCAAGCAAGGGUUGCAAAACUUUGUGUCUGUAGCACCUACUACGUAAGCAUGUGCUGUUCAGCAACGUAACAGCUAGAGCCAUGCUGGUAAAGACAAAGGAUUUGCUUCCAGCAAGGCAAUUUAUGGGUUUGAAAUUAAUUCAACAGCCAAAUUAGUAUCCGGAGGUAUCUCGCUUUGUUACUGCAGUUAAUCUCCACCUUCAAUGAAAAAGAGAAAAGAAAAAUUGAAGUUUUAAAAGCACUGCGUGCGUAUUUUUUUUUUUUAAGGUGAUAUUAAUUAGAAAUCCAAGCCAUUAGGAGAAAGGAAUAACAAACAAUGCCAAGCAUUACACUUCCCCGGCCCUCUAGCUUGUUUCUCUAUUUCUACCUAGUAUGUUCUUGCCCCAUGAGGUGAAAUACUCAUGAAAACACGAGGGAGUCAAAUAUACCAAACAAAAGCAAAGCGUAGGAAAAAAAGCUAUUCCUGUUAAUCUCUUUCACCCUAUGCGCGUUUAGGCGUUCUCGAGCAACAGCAUUAAGAACAACCUUCUCAAAGAGGACACCUAUCAAGGCCGCGGCCAUCCGCACCGCCCGGGGCCGGGACAGAGCGCUGCGCGCAGAGCUCCGCGGGCCUGCAGAGAGCUGCGGCCCGCCGCCGGCCGCGGUCCUCCGAAGCAGGCCGCACGGACGGGCCCUGCCGUAACAAAACGCGGUUUCGCUCACACACCCGCUCCCGCCGCUCCACUCACCUCACCUCAGCAGCCCGCCGUUACAGCGGCUCCUCAGCGCUUCCGGGCCCGGUGGGGAACGCGCUCCGCGCCGCGCAGGUUCUGCCAGUGACAGCGGCCGAGCGCCCGCCCCGACCCACGGCGCGGCCUUCCCGCCCGCACAGCGCGGAGGGACCGAGAAGCCCUCCCCCGUGUCUUUGUGUUUAAUGAGAAACGGUGCGGGGGAAAUGGCUGCUUGCGGGGGAUGGGG